ACUGGGUGACUGGAAAGGACAAGCUGAGGCCUGCUGGUUCCACCGGUCCUUUCUGUCCCCAGG
rnacentral:pre_miRNA from 1 species